rnacentral:rRNA from 1 species
ACACAUGCAAGUCGAACGAUGGANGGANGAGCUUGCUCCUCNGGAUUAGUGGCGAACGGGUGAGUAAUACGUGAGCAAUGUGCCCUUGACUCUGGGAUAAGCGCUGGAAACGGCGUCUAAUACCGGAUACGACCCUCGGAGGCAUCUCCUGAUGGUGGAAAGAACUUCGGUCAAGGAUCAGCUCACGGCCUAUCAGCUAGUUGGUGAGGUAACGGCUCACCAAGGCGACGACGGGUAGCCGGCCUGAGAGGGUGACCGGCCACACUGGGACUGAGACACGGCCCAGACUCCUACGGGAGGCAGCAGUGGGGAAUAUUGCACAAUGGGCGCAAGCCUGAUGCAGCAACGCCGCGUGAGGGACGAAGGCCUUCGGGUUGUAAACCUCUUUUAGCAGGGAAGAAGCGAAAGUGACGGUACCUGCAGAAAAAGCACCGGCUAACUACGUGCCAGCAGCCGCGGUAAUACGUAGGGUGCAAGCGUUGUCCGGAAUUAUUGGGCGUAAAGAGCUCGUAGGCGGUUUGUCGCGUCUGCUGUGAAAACCCGAGGCUCAACCUCGGGCUUGCAGUGGGUACGGGCAGACUAGAGUGCGGUAGGGGAGAUUGGAAUUCCUGGUGUAGCGGUGGAAUGCGCAGAUAUCA